GAUGGACGCUGGCGGCGUGCUUAACACAUGCAAGUCGAACGUGAGAGGGUAGCAAUAUCCUUGAAAGUGGCGCACGGGUGAGUAAUACGUAGGUAACCUGCCCUGGAGUGGGGGAUAACAACUGGAAACGGUUGCUAACACCGCAUAAUACCGGACACUAGGGAUAGUGACUGGUAAAAACUCUGGUGCUUCAGGAGGGGCCUGCGGCCGAUUAGCUAGUUGGCGGGGUAAGAGCCCACCAAGGCAUUGAUCGGUAGCUGGUCUGAGAGGACGAUCAGCCACACGGGAACUGAGACACGGUCCCGACUCCUACGGGGGGCAGCAGUGAGGAAUAUUGGGCAAUGGGCGAAAGCCUGACCCAGCAACGCCGCGUGGAGGAAGACGGCCUUCGGGUUGUAAACUCCUUUUACGGGGGAAGAGGAAGGACGGUACCCCGAGAAUAAGUCACGGCUAACUACGUGCCAGCCGCCGCUGUAAUAC
rnacentral:rRNA from 1 species